CCUACGGGUGGCAGCAGUGAGGAAUAUUGGUCAAUGGGCGCUAGCCUGAACCAGCCAAGUAGCGUGAAGGAUGACUGCCCUAUGGGUUGUAAACUUCUUUUAUAUGGGAAUAAAGUGCAGUAUGUAUACUGCUUUGCAUGUACCUUAUGAAUAAGGAUCGGCUAACUCCGUGCCAGCAGCCGCGGUAAUACGGAGGAUCCGAGCGUUAUCCGGAUUUAUUGGGUUUAAAGGGAGCGUAGGUGGAUUGUUAAGUCAGUUGUGAAAGUUUGCGGCUCAACCGUAAAAUUGCAGUUGAAACUGGCAGUCUGGAGUACAGUAGAGGUGGGCGGAAUUCGUGGUGUAGCGGUGGAAUGCUUAGAUAUCACGAAGAACUCCGAUUGCGAAGGCAGUUCACUGGACUGCAACUGACACUGAGGCUCGAAAGUGUGGGUAUCAAACAGGAUUAGAUACCCUUGUAGUC
rnacentral:rRNA from 1 species